rnacentral:rRNA from 1 species
AAAUCAUAAAGGAAGUCUCUGCCCACUGAGUUUUAAAUGGCUGCAGUAUAUUGACUGUGCAAAGGUAGCAAAAUAAUUAGAUUUUUAAUUGAAAUCUUGAAUGAAUGAGGUAACAAGUUAUUUACUUUAUUAAGUUGAAAAUUUGAAUUUAAUUUUUUAGUUAAAAAGCUUAAAUAUGUUUAUGGGACGAGAAGACCCUAUAGAAUUUUAUAUAAUUGUUUUAAAUAAUUAUUGGUGUUUUAAGAUUAAUUAUAUUUUUUUGGGGAGAAGGUGAAAAUUUUGAACUUUUAUUAAUUAUUGAACAAUUUUAAUUGGAUAAUUUAUUAUUUUGAUGAAUUUAAUUUUUUUAAGAGUGCCUUGUAGUGCUUAUAAGUUAAAAUAAUCAUUGAAUUUAUUG